rnacentral:rRNA from 1 species
CCUACGGGAGGCAGCAGUGAGGAAUAUUGGUCAAUGGACGAGAGUCUGAACCAGCCAAGUAGCGUGAAGGAUGACUGCCCUAUGGGUUGUAAACUUCUUUUAUAUGGGAAUAAAAUGUUCCACGUGUGGGAUUUUGUAUGUACCAUAUGAAUAAGGAUCGGCUAACUCCGUGCCAGCAGCCGCGGUAAUACGGAGGAUCCGAGUGUUAUCCGGAUUUAUUGGGUUUAAAGGGAGCGUAGGUGGAUUGUUAAGUCAGUUGUGAAAGUUUGCGGCUCAACCGUAAAAUUGCAGUUGAAACUGGCAGUCUUGAGUACAGUAGAGGUGGGCGGAAUUCGUGGUGUAGCGGUGAAAUGCUUAGAUAUCACGAAGAACUCCGAUUGCGAAGGCAGUUCACUGGACUGCAACUGACAUUGAGGCUCGAAAGUGUGGGUAUCAAACAGGAUUAGAUACCCGAGUAGUC